GAAGGUACAGUUCCAGAUACUUGUUUACGCACAACACUAAAAUGGAAAGUGAAAGUUGAACAUCCAAUUGCUUCCUGAAAGCUGCUUCUAAAAAUAGUGUCGAACUUUGGAUAGUACAGAAGGUGAAUUUGAUUCAACAAGCCAUCCAGCUCAAUACUGGAUGAAAUGCCCUGCUUUCUCAGAGAACAACUACCUGAAGAAGACUUUGAAGAAAACUUUAACAAUACAGUAUUAGUCAGAAAAACCUUAAUCCUGUUUAGUUUUAAAAAGAGGAGCAGUAUUCUUUGGAAGACAUGGGGUUAUGCCUACAAUGAUCCUGGUAACCAACAUGCUGAAUGUUUGGUUUUGAGUAAUAUUGAACAAUUCAUCGCAGAAAAUCAGAUCAAAGGAAAAUAUAAAAUGACUUUCUUUAUGUCACACACUCCUUGCCAUAAAUGCAGUGAUAAGAUAGCAUCUUUCUUAGUUUCAAGAAAAGGGUUGUCCAUGGAAAUAAAAGCUUCAAGACCAUAUUUUUUAAAUGAAGGACGAAAAGGCCUCUAUCUUCUGAAGAGGAUUGGCGUCCUACUCAAAAUGAUGGACAGAUCUGAUUUUGAAGAAUGCUUCUAUUUAUUUGUGCACCCAUUAAAGACAUUCACUCCAUGGUCAGAUUUGGAUGAGCAAAGCAAGAAGAACAUGGAUGAUCUGGCAGCACUUUGGAAACAGGCAAUGGAUGACAAUUUUAUAGAAAAUGAAAAGAAGACAGAAGAAAAGACCAGAAAGGAAAUUAAAAUAUGUAUCCAUGACAGCACGAUCGAGUCAUUAAUCAUUUCUGAUUUUGCUGCAUCACAACUUGAUGUCGAUGAAGUUUUGGAGAGUCCAUGUGAAAUACCAGAAGUGGAAAGAUUUCAGCUAGGUCCAGAGACUCCUCAGAAGAUGACUUGCUCUGAUAAAGCAACAGAAGCUGUCCAGAGUGGUAAAAGGAAACUUGAAUUCUAGGAGAACUAGAAGGCAUGAAUAUAGGUUUUCCUCUUAGAUCUUCACUUUGUCAUUAGCCUGCAACAAAGUGCUGAUCCGGUAUUUCUUCCUCUUCCUCCCAUUCUCCUCUUCCUCCUUAAUUGAUAUCCUGGCUUUCUCCUUAUUUCCUAUGCUGAGUGCUGGCGUUUGAAUGUCUUUGAUAUAGGGAUUAGUUCUUGGACUUUUGAGUCGUACAGGUUUGCCAUCUUUGUCAGUGCAAACAUUGGGUCACUUCUGAAACUUCUAGAAGCCAUAUGUACAAAUGUUGAAAACAGCUAUCCAAAUGGAAUGUUACUCCAAAUGGUAUGUAACUGCAGUGUCUAAAAUAUGGAAUGUUAGUAUAUUUACCUCUUGAUGUAAACAUUACUUUUCUGCAAUACAACUCCCAGAAUCUGUCAGGAAGACACUCAAAUAUACAAAUUGGUGGGGGGGGGGGGGGGGCUUUCCUGGAGCAAACAUACUAAUUUUUCCCCAAUAGUAAAAUCUGGGGCAAAUCUGGGGCCUUAGAGGAAUUCUAAAGAGGUGUAUAGGCUUCUGAAACAGAUCUAUGGGCCAUAGUCUAGCCCGUAGUUUCCCACCUCUUUGAAAUCUCUGCUUCUUUGUUGAAUUAGAUUUCUGCAACUUCCAAGCCAAACGCUGCUUGCAAACCUAUGUUCUAUGCCCUGCUAAGAUUCCAAUUUCUUGUUGCUAUUAUUGUUUGAAAUCCUAAACUGGCAACAGUUUUUAUCAAGCCCCUGGCAGGUAAGCUGAUGAGAAUUAUUUUUUUGAAAUCGUGUAACUCGCCGUAUGAAUCAGCUGCACUGGCUACUGGUUCAUUUUUGGGCAGAAUUUAAAAUUCUGGUUUUGAGCUUUAAAGCCCUACACAACUUGGGUCUGGACUAUCUGAAGGCCCAUUCCACACAGCUGAAUAAAAUCCCACAUGUUCUGCUUUGGAAUAUAUGGCAGUGUGGACUCAGAUAUUGUGGGAUUUUUCUGCCUUGAUAUUCUGGGUUAUAUGGCUGUGUGAAGGGCCCUGAAUCUCCUCAUACAAGACAGUACAAGUGUGAACAUUUGCAGAGGAAGGCAUUCUCCCAGGUCCCUUUACAAUGCCAUAUAAUAUCCAGAUUAUCUGCUUUGAACUGGAUUAUAUUAUAUAGAAGAGCCCUAAAAACAUGGCUAUGUGCUCAGGCCUUUAACCAAUAAACAACAAAGAUGACCUGGACUGUUUUAUGGCUAAAGCAUGAGGAUUGUGGAUGAACGGAUUUAACCAUAUGUAUUAUAUUUUUAUAUUGUAUUGUUUUUAAUGGAUUUUAUAUAUUGUUAUGAUUUUAACUAUGUGUCGGCAUUGAAUUGUUGCCAAUUGUGUAAGCCGCCCUGAGUCCCUUCGGGUGAGAAGGGCGGGAUAUAAAUGUAAAUAAAUAUAUGGCAGUGUAGAAGGGGCCUCAGUCUCACCAGCUUUACAGAACCAUUUGAUGAAGACUUGGGAGAGAGUCUGUUCCGUGGCUGCUCCCAGCAAACUCCCUCCCACAGGAAGUCCAGUUGGCCCCCUCCUUGAACUUUUUCUGCUGGGAGGUGAAGACAUUUUUGUUUAGACAAGCUUUUGAAGUAUAAAUUUUAACUAUGGAAUUCUAGUGUGUAAGAGAGUGAUGUGUAUUUUAAAGUUAUGCUUUAGGUGUUUUAACGGUGUUAAAUCCUAUUUUAAUAAUUAUGAUAUUUAAUUUACUUUAACUUUUGUAAUUAUGCUUUAGCUAUAUCUUUUAAAAAAUAUUGUAAGCAGCCUGAAUCCCAGUUUGGAAGAAAGGUAGGGUACAGAUUAUUAAGGAUUUAUGAUGACAAGUGGAAGCUCUUAUGUGUGCCCGCGAUCCAGAAUCAUCCGCAGAACAAUAACAUGCCACAAAGGUUUGCAAAACAAAAAUACAGGAACUUUACUAAUUCCAAGACAUAAAAAAGUAGUAUAUACAAUGGUCCCUCUGAUCACUUACAGAAGUCUACUACGGUCAUAAUCAGCCCUUUCUCGGUCCACAAAUCAAUCCCCAGGUCUUUGCAGACUCAGCCAAUUGGCUUCAUGCACUUUAUUUUCCAGUUAAUACACACACAGCACAGUGCCUUUGCAAACCAUGACACAAAUUUGAUAGAUAGAUAGAUUGAUAGAUAGCUUUUAUCAUAUUUUGUAAAUUGCUUAUAAUCAAGAUGGAAACAGCAUGAGAUCUAAAUAGACUGAAUAACAUCAGGAACCUAAGCUGAUAUUUUCAUCCAUUGAGUCCCAGCUUUUCUGCGCAUCACUCUUCAGAGUGGACACUUGUAUAUUUAUGUAUUCAACAUUCUUGCUGUCAUAGACAGAACGCCACCAAAUAGAGUACAACACAGUUUAUUAAAGUUACAGAACUAAAAAAUGCCCGUAGGAAGCAAAGGACUAGGCAAACACUUGUCUUCAGUGUGAAAAGUAACAGAAACAGCUCCGUUUGAAUUAAAACGGUUCGAAAGGAUAAACCGGAUUAAACAGGAGUUUAAUCCGGGUUAAAGCAAAAGUGCUUACUUCAGCCUGACAAUUUAAACAAACAAAAGUUGGUAAACAGAGGUCAAAAUGAACACAAAAACUGGCAGCAGAUUCCUCUCUGCUACUCAAAAGCUACAGAUGAGUAACUCAGGCUGUUUACUCCUCCGUGCAACGAGCGAAAUCCGGGUCCAGGCACAUCAAUCAGGGUAACGGCGGUCAGCAGGGUCCCAAUCCGGUCGAAGGUCGAAAGCCAAGUGCAGACGUCUAAAGUUCCACAAGUUCCACCGAUAGCCACAGAAGGGAUAGUCCAAGGUCGUAGUCAGUCAGUCAGUCCAGCGUCAAUCCAGAGUAGGUAAUUAAUGUCCGUCAAAAAGACGACGGAGGUCCAAGCUAUCAAGAUUAAACACAAGUUGCACAGAAAAACCCCACACAGUUCCUCCCGCCGUCUAUGCCCAGUGUCCUUGGUAACUUACGUAUCCAGCAACGAAUCACACCCGUCUUCAGGAAGUUCCCCAACAAGAGCCCAAGCGUUCGUCCAGAUUACCUUGCCCAACGCAAUUAGCCAUUGAUCCUAAACCCCAUUUUAUCCCAGUUCAUAACUCCUCAUCGCUGUCAGCUGCUAUCCUAAUUCCAGGUGCCUCCUCAUCAUCAUCCUCAUCAGAGCUAAAACACCUUUGACUACACCCCACAGCAUCCCCAGCUGUGGAUCCCGCUCCAUCCCUCCAGCCCGUCCAUGGGUCUGAUCCUGCAACCCGCCAAUCGCCUCCCAUGUUAUCAUUGCCGGUGACACCCAAAUCCUCCCUCACACGAGUCCACUCCAUGUCAUCCUCCUCUGAGCUAACCAUCUCUUCCUCCAUUCCCUCGGUAAAACCCUCAAAUGAGUCUUCAUCUGUUGGUUCAUCUGUUGGUAUUUUGCACAGUAUUCAAGACAGCUAUGUAUUAUUUUAAUGCUUUUAAAUAAAGGUGUGAGACUUACCAGAAAAGUCUGAAAAGUGAUUGAUUUCUGAAUAAAUCUGGGAAUUUCCCUAUCUCUUUUGCUAUGGGUAAAUUAUGGAGAUUAAUAGAAAAUAUAAGUGCUUAUUCCUGAUGCAAGGAAAUCUAUAACAUUUCCUAGUAAAUUACCAGAAAUGAUUGGGGCAGGAAGUGUGCUUUGGAUAUUUACCAGGGUUGCAAGAGUCAUUGUCAGCUCUCCUGAAAAACCAGUUUCCUUGGCCUUUGCCUCACCAUAACUGUCAUCCAGGAGGUAUUCCUUUGGGUUACAUAAAGGGCAAGCAAAACCACACAACUGUUCCAUUGAGAGAACGGCAGUGUUUCGUCCCUUUCUCUGACCCCCCCCCCCUUUUUUUUCAAUUUGCUUGUGAUAGGAGUACUAAUACUAUUUGGCCGCACUGCAGUGUAGCUGUUGCAUUACACAUGGGGACCUAUUUGCCCAUUGGUAUUUCACUAUAACCACUAUGGUGGUAUCCUAUGGAAUCCUGAGGUUUGUAGUUUUUUAAAGUACAAGAGAAGCUCUCUGGCUCAGAAUUAUAAAUGUCCCUAAACUGUCAAUCCCAGGAUUCCAUACAAUGAAACCAUAGUGGUUAAAAUCGAAUAACAAUACUAUAAUUCCGUAAUAUAAAUGGGCACUCAAGUCAUUAUAAGAACUUUUGUAACAUUUUAAGAAUUGGUAAUCUGCAUGUUUUCAUAUACCUUUUCUCUCUCCAUGCCCUUUUCAUUUUGUGUUGAGUCUUUUUAGAUUGUUUGCUUGUUUGUCAAGAAUGUCUAUAUGGUUUUAAUCAAUGAUAAACAGGGAAAGAAAUAUUGGAUUUAGACCACACAUUUAGCCUUGGUAUCUCUAACCAGUAGAUGUCAGAAAACAUUGUGGGGGAGAACAUUUAGGACAUUUAAUACCACAGGCACACUAUAGAAGAUUUGUCAUUCUAAUUCUUAUGAUGUGUCAGAUGGCUAAUGCUGCAUGUUGUGAACUAAGCAAAGAAAUAAUGCUUUCAAGCAGAAGAUUUAUUUGAUUUAAUAAAAACCGUUUACAUACACUUGGAAAAAAAUCUUCCUGAAGUCAAUAAAAACCCCUUCUAAAGAAAUGUAUGCAGGAUUAACCAUUGCAAAAAUCUUGGGUUUAUGGAUGUUUGUAAAAGAUAGAUAGAUAGAUAGAUAGAUAGAUAGAUAGAUAGAUAGAUAGAUAGAUAGAGAUAGAUAGUUCCUAGAAUGCCAUGCUAGGGUGAUGGUAGGUUAAGACCGGGAAUGUGUUUUUUUGCUCUUUUAUGUUAUUGCUUUAUAUGAUUGAAUGUUUUAUACUAUUUGUAUUGCUUAAUUUAUUGUAUUGUGUGGCAUUUAAUAUUUGCCUUUUUAUGUUGUAAGUCAUCCUGAAUCCCCACAGGGAAAUGGGGCAGAAUAUAAAGAAAGUUUGUUGUUGUUGGAAGAAGAAGAAAGCAUACAAACGUGCAUGAUGUGUUAACUACAAGAGUAAUAAUUAUUGUAAAUAACAUGUACUGCUUUUUGUUUUGAUCUAUUUUUUUCAAAAACAAACAAAUUUUCCAGAAUAUGUUGCCACAGAUCCAGGCAUCAUCCAUUUGUAAAAUACUCAUGCUAGAUAUUCCUUUGGCUGCUUAGUGACAUAAUUUGAGACUCAGCUAGAAGAGUGGUGAGGAAUGUAGAACUCUCCAGUUGUAGCUCCUCAAAGGUUUUAUGAGUUGUCAAAGACUACAUCUAUUUUUGCGGUUGGCAAAUUAGAGAGACCUGGCUUUCUUUUGAGUGUUGACCUAAAAAUCAGGGAGACCAGGGAUCAAAUCUAUGCUCAGCUAUCAAAUCCAAUUGGAUGACAUUGGAUAAGUCACACUUUCUCAGCCUCAGAGGAAGGCAAUGGCAAGCCCUCUCAGAAAAAUCUUGUUGACAAAAUCCUGUGAUAGGGUUGCCUUAGAGUUAUUAUAAAUCAAAAACAACUUGAAGGUACACAACAAUAAGAACAAAAGCAGUUUGCAAUGUACUUUUUGUUGUGACUCAGCUAGAGCUUCAGAGUGAUUCUGAUGGGGAUUAUGAGAUUCAGGUUCAAGAUGAUGAGAUUCAGGUUCAAGAUUACUCUGAUGGGAAUUAUGGGAUUCAGGUUCAGAGUGUUCUUGCUGUGGCAGAUGAGGAACAGAGAGGCUUUCCCAUGGCAGGGAAUGGUGUUGAUGAUUCUGAAGGUGAUACUGAAGCUAGCCAGGUGCAAAGGGAGGACAGCUCCCAGUCUGAUAGCACGCAGACAGACGCUAAUGCUAAUGAGCUGUCUGGCCUUGAUGAAACAGAAUCUUUGGAUAGAGCUGGCCAUUUGGAAUUCAGGAUUCGCAGGAGUGCUGGAAUAGCAAACAAGAGGGAGGUUAGAGGCCAAAGAAAUGUGUUCAUGCUAUGCAACGGGUAUUAAAAGAGUGUACUGAGAGAGGAAUCUUUGUCAAAGCAACUUCUCGUUUGAGUCAAGUAGCCAGCUCUUGCUUUCUCGGAUUAUCUUGCAGCCUUGGUGUAUUCAUGUUCUUGGGACCUUGUCAUGCAUUUAUGGAACCUUGUUUUAUGGCUAACGUUUUCUUGGAUUAUUCUUUAUAGCCUUGUUUUGCAACAAUCUUUUGGAACUUUACUUUUGCUUUUUAAGAACUAUUAUUUUCCUAUUUCCUAAUAAACUACAGAAGACUUCAACCUGUCUAUAGCCUGGUGUAUUUAGCAAGGUGAAGCUAACCUGAGGUGAGACACUUUUAUGGAAAGAAUGAGACACAUAAUAGGGAUGUUGCGGUCCUUGAGAUCUGCUGGGGAGGCCCUCCUCUCACUCCCGCCGCUGUCCCAAGCAAAGUUGGUGGGGACGAGGGAGCGGGCCUUCUCAGUAGUGGUGCCCCGGCUCUGGAAUGCCCUCCCUAGGAGAUUAGGUUGGCCCCUACUCUGCAUUCCUUUUGUAAGGAACUCAAAACCUGGUGGUUUCAGUAGGUGUUCGAAUGAAUCCAUUCUGGUUAGCCCACCGACUUUGACCUGAUAAAUACUGCAUAGUCUCAUCUUUCCUGAUUAUGAACCAUGUUUAACCUAUGAGAUUAUGGACCCUCGCCCCCCGAUAGGAACCUGUUGUGAUUAUCAUUGAUUGCUAUUUUUAUUGUAACAUUUUAUUUUGUGUAAUAAUCUGUUUUUAUAUGGUUAUGUAUUGUAUGUAUUAUAUUGUAUGCUGUGUAUUACUGUUGUAAACCACCCUGAAUCCCUUCUGGGAGAUAGAGCAGUAUAUAAAUAAAGUUUUAUUAUUAUUUAUUAUUUAUAAAAUCUCCAGACUUUUAGGACUUGGUCUGCUGGAGUGUAGGCCAAUGUGUUCCAACCUACAUAUGAUGGAUUACUUAUUAAUCCAAAUACUUUAGUCACUUUAAGGAGAUAACAGACAGCUUGGGCAUAUAAACACUCUUAAAACAAUGGAUGACUACUAGCACAGGAUAACUGUCUAUUGUGAUGACAUCCAAUUAGCUAACCCCUAAAAAGUUCAUUCUGCAAUAACUUCCAAAAAGCCAACUUUUCCUCUUAUGCUCCCAUGCUCAUUCCAGCCUCACACAUUUCUCUUUACACCAAGUGUGUCAAACCCAUUUUCAUCAAGGGUCACAUCAGCCUCAUGGUUGCCUUCAAAGGGCCAGUUGUAAUUAUAAGACUAUAUAAAUGUAACUAUGUUGCUCUGGCAUUGAAAGCUUUGUGGGCCACUCACAAUGAUAUGAUAGGCCAGAUUCAGCCUACAGGCUCACCGUUAAACAUGUGUACUUUACACUAAUGGAACUACUCUUCCGGAAUUAUUGAAAUCAAUAACACUUUUUUAAAAUUACACAUAGGAAAGAAAAUUUAUACUUCUAUAAUCAUAAAUCCAAAGUUGGAUCACAAUUACUCAAAGUCUGAAAGUACUGGAAUUCUAUUAGUGGGCUUGUGCUGGUGUGAAUACCAUUAUGCAUGCAAUUAUAGGAGGUAGUCUAAGUAUGUUAUGCUAACCAAAGUUGUACCAUGCUACAGAAUUUAUUUAUUAUUUAUUUACUCCAUUUAUAUCCCGCUCUAUCUCAUCCCAAGGGAGACUCAGAGCAACUUACAUCUUGGCAAAAUUCAAUGCCACAUACACAUACAAAAAGUAAUACAUAACAUAAUUCAACUAAAAUCAAUAAACAUAUAAAUACAAAUUAAAACCAUCAAACAUGUUGAACACAUUAAACUUCCCCCAAGUUUUUAUGAUAGAACCCAUUAGGAAAUGACAUAGAUAACUCAGGA